GGUGCCGUGGCGCCGCUCCCGCCCGGCCGCUCCAGAGGCGCGUUGGCUUUGGCUCGCGGCAGGAGGACGGUGCAGUAACGUGAGUGGCUGUGAUGGCAAGUGCCUGUUUGAGAGGUCCCGAUUCAGGACAACAGCAAACGCGCAACCUUCUAUGUAGACUUGGUUUCGGUUCUCUAAGAUUGUUGAGUCCAACCAAUGAUCGAACACCACCUCAUCAACUAGACUGAGGCACUAAGUGCCAUGUCCAGUCUUUCUUCUAACACUUCCAGGGAUGAUGUCUCUACCACGUUCCUUGGCAGCCCAUUCCAAUCUCCCUUCCUGUGAAGAAAUGCUUCAUAAUGUCCAACCUAAACCUGCCCUGGCACACCUUUAGACUGUGUCUUCUUGUCCUAUUGCUUGUUGCCUAAGUAUAUGUAGUGAACUCGAGUGGGUUUGUCCAGGACUAUGCCUAGUUAGGCUUCAACUGUCUCCAGGGGCAGAGACUCCACAACUUCUCCAGGUAACUCGUUCCAGUGUUGGAUCACCUUCAGAAUACAAACAUUUUUUAUUUUGUUGAAAUGGGACUUUUUAUGUUUUUCAGUCCAUCGCCCACUGAUUCUUGGCAUGUUCUCUUGUGCUCUCCUCAUAUGUCAGAUGCUCCAAACCCUUAAUCAAUUUGACUGUACUUGUUCUAUUAUGUCCAUGUCUUCCUUGUACUGGGGAGGCUGAAACUGAAUCCACAGCCAGAAAGAUGUCUCCCUUACCUGCUGGUGAUGCUUUUCCUAACAGAGGCUAUUGGUCUUCUAAAUUACUUAAUAUGGGCUUAGGUAGUAAAUGUAUGCCCUGGCACUGAAAUUCAUGGAACUAAUUAAAAUGGAUA